GCGCCCCGCGCUCACUCGGCCGCUGCUCGCCCCGGCGCCCCGCCGCGCCGCGCCUCGGCCGCCCUCUCUGGCCGCGCCUCCUCCCGCCCUCCGGGCCGGCGCUCCGCUUCCCCCUUCCUCCUGCGCCUCCGCCUCCUUCCACACAAAUACCAACUCCUCACCCCAAGCCCAGAUCUCGCCGCCGCCGCCGCCGCCACACUCCGCUCAGGCUUGGCCUCGCGAGACUUCCGUGCUGCCUCGGCCCGCCCCCACCUCUCUCCUACUCGCCUGUUCGCCCUCUCGCUCCUCCUCCUCUGCCAAUCGAUCUGCCCGUUCGCCGCAGAGGCCCCGCCCACUCAACUCGGGCUCCUCCCGGAUUGGGGCCGACGGGAGGGCCCCCGCGCGCGCUGGCUGGCCGCUGCGCGUGACGUCAGCGCGCCGCCACCGCCGCCGAGAGUCGCGCGGCUCCCGCCGUCCGCGGUGCAACAGCAGUAGGUCCCGCCGCCCGGUGUCUAGGCACCACUCGGCAGCGGGGCGUCGACGCAGCGGCCGCCACCACCUCGGGAGCGGGUGAGCCGAGCCGUCGGCGCGGCCCCGGGCGCCGCGGGGAAGGGGUCUGUGGGGCGGGGCCGGCCGGGCGUGGGAUUCUGGUCGGGGGUCGGCCCGGGGUUCGCGCGGGGAAGCGGGCGGCGCGCGCGCGCCGCCCGGGCGCCCCAAUAAAGUCUGUUUUGACGAGAGACGCCUGUGCCUCCUUUUUCGCGUCGGACGGCGCUUGCUCUUGACGCCUGACUUCGGAUGGGCGAUGGCGGCGGAGUGAGGGAGGAGGACCAGGCGAACAAAGGCGGGCGAGCGGGCAGCAGAGGAAACGUCCGCCGGCGUCCGCGGGCCCGCAUCUCGCCGCGAGCACCGGGUCCCAGCGCUCUGCUGGGUCCGGGGCCGAGCGCAGGUGGGUUGCACGCCGGGCGGGGCAGCCGGGCGGAAGCGGCGCGCGGAGCCCCCAGGUCCACCGUUGGGAGGAUGUCCGUUAUCCUUUUGUGACCCGCGGAAACUUGGGACGGAGCCGUUGGGUGCCUGCUUCCCCGUGGAUCUUAGAAUGACGGGAUCCCAGCCGCUAGUCCUACUGCAGCUUAGCUCUUUAUGGCUUUCUAAAAUGUCUGAGCUUCCCUGUCUUCGCUCUCCAGCCAAUCAUUGUUUCCCGUGACCACUGUCCUCACCUAUUUCUCACUUACAUAGCUUCUCCUCCUUAUGCUUACCAGGCUUGCAUCUGUCUCCUCAUUGAAAAUUAAACAAUUUCCCGCCCUGUUCUCCUUUUUUAUAUAUAGCAGAGCCUGUAUUUUUCCUGGCACUAAUUAGCGGCAAGUUAAAUCUUCCUGAAUAGCUAGCUAUGUCACAGCGAAGUGGUUUUGCCCUUACUCAUUCUUUUGGUCUACCUGAUUUAGGGUCUUAAGUAACAGAUAAAAAACUGGUUAUUAAGAAAAUCCUGAAAACCUCGGAAGGUGUGUCUUUGUUGUACUCGUUCGGCCAACUUAAGGGCUGUGUGAAUUUCUUAAACAUUCUCUACAUUUAUGUUUGUCUUCUAGUGUUUUUGGGGUUGAAGGCCGUGAUUGUUCUGAACUGUAAUGUAUCAGUCUUAGAUCCAACUUGUUAAAACAAGCGUCUUUUUGGGAACUUUGUAGAGAAACUAUGCAUUCUGAUUAAAAAGUGACCUUUAUCACUCUCAUUUAGUCCCUGCUUAUUUUUAAACGUCAUUGUACUUGAUUUUUGAGAAUGUUAGUAGAUGGAGUGAAAAAUUAGAUCAUUGCCUCUUUGAAUCUGAGUUUUAAAAUCUGAGUAAUUCCCUGUGGAAUGCUGCACCUGCACAGUUUCACAAAGUCAAGCCUGCUGAAAUAAGUCAUUUCUGGCUUCAUAGCUUAUAAAUUUUGCAUAAAUAUUUCACAAGUGAAAACCAAUUGUGGGAGAACUGGUUUUUAUGUGGCUUUAUUAAUUUCACUUUCCCCACUCUCUAGUAAUUGAUGAGAGGAUGUCAUUGUAAGUAGUUGGUACUUCUGCAUAGAUAGGAGAGAGAUGGGGAAGUACCCUGUUAGGCAGCCUAGCUUCUGAGUCAUAGAUCUGUAGACUUCACAAUCAGCUGGAGAAAGCUGAAGAGGGUUUAACUUCUCAGGAAGGGUGGUAGGUGGGAGAAAGCACCAAGAUGUUCCUUGGUGCUAUCUCAGCACCUGCUCCAUGAAUAUCUUUUAAAAAUUGCCCCAGAGCAGGUGACCUAUUGGAUCGCCCUGGAGUUUUCAGUAGUGGGAGAUAGUCUUAUCUCUCCUCUAGCUGUGGAGUAGCUUAUGGAUAGACACUCAAAGAUACUGUGCUGUAUUGGUGCCAGCCUGCUUGUAUUUGCUGCUAAAGGUGAAAAUCCAUUUAAAAGGACAGGUUAUAGUGCAGUUCCAGAGCCUUGGGCCUUUUUAGAGGGAUCAUUUCACUGCUUUUAUUCUCUUCUGUUUGAGCAGAGUAAUUUGGGGCCUAUGAGCCUUCCCUCCAAAUUUCUAGAGUCCUUUUGUUUUGGCAACGAGACAAAUGACUAAUGCCACUUAAUUAAACAAGUAUUUUACACCCAUGUCUGCGUGCUUUUGCCCUUACAGCUGUGAGGGCAGAGAUGACUGCUGGGUCUGUGUAUAGCUCAAUGCCUUGUAUGUGGAAUGAUUGUUUCCUUUUUGGUCCAACAAAACAUGAAAUUGGUGGUGAGGGUAUAGCUCAGUGGUAGAGUGUGUGCUUAGCAUGCAUGAGGUCCUGGGUUCAGUCCCCAGUACCUCCACUAAAUAAGUAAACCUAAUUACCUCCCCACCCCAAAUAAAUAAAAAAGACAAAAACUUUUUUAAAAGGAACUGUAAUUUAAAAAAAAGAAAAGAAAAGAAAUGGAAGGCGCCAUGAUGGGAGUUCUGUGUGGUUGUGCUUGUCCAUUUCAGGGGUCUAAAAAGCUCCAACCUUGUACAAAGUUUCCAGUCUACCAGAGAAAUGAACGUCAACAACUAUAGAAGAAUAAGCAAGAUUAGAAGAAUCUUACGAGUUGUGUAAACUUUCUAGACUCUCUGAGAAGUCAGAACUCACUAAUGGCUGAGGAGAUGUGGUGACCAGUAUCCUGCAAGGAAUGUGUCCCUUGGCGGGACAGCAUAGGGCAAAAGUGUGGACUGUUAACCCACAGGUCUUUAGAUGUCUCCUCACCUUCCCCCUUCCUAAUAGUUUGCUUCCUGAACUUCCAUUACAUUUCCAAUUGAAUGGUGGUUUAAGAAGGGACACGUGGAGAGAGUAGAGGGUGGAAGUGGGUGGAGGAAUAAAUAGGGUGUAAAUUAAAGGAUGCCUAGUAUCUCUUACCAUCCUUCUUUCAGACCACCUUCUCAUUUAUUAAUUAUAGGAAGGCUAACUUAAAUCCUAUUCUACCAUAUUUCUAUUUCUGAGAGAUUGGAAAUGAUUCAGGCAGUGAACCCAUGCUAAGUAAUUUCCUUUACCACAAAGUAGUUUGGCUGCCUCAUGAAAUUGCUUUUUGGUUAGUUCUGAUGUCUUGUGCUAUUGAUGUUACUUCUAGCAGCAGGCAGUUGGUGCUGGGCAUCCAUUACAGUAUGGAGAAUUAUCACUGGGCAGAACCAGCCCAGUCUGUUGUGCAGUUAAGGAAAGCAGCUGAAAGAGGAGCUCUUCAAGGGCACAUUGCAAGGUAGUGAUGGGGCUACAGGUAGAGUCAACAUUUCCUGCAUUUUGUUAGGCUACAAAGCCACUGUAACUUUGGGGGUCAGGACCCCGUUCCAGUUCAGAUCCAUGCUGAGUUUCCAGUAAAAUACUUAGAAAAAUCAGGGUGGAAAUUUGUGUUCAUGCAUCUAAAUUAGUUACCCCAGUUUGGAGCAAUACAAGUUAAAUGAAGAACUGUAGGCGUGUACAUGUUUUCUUAAUCUUCUAAACUAUAGUUUGUUCUUGAUUGUGGAAUUUUUGAAACCUGGGCUAUUCAAGGGCCCCCCUCCCCCAGUCAAUGCAUUUAUUAGAUUUGGAGCUUAAAUUGUGGUGAAAUGCCCUAACUGCACAAGUUUAUAAAGCUCACACCAUUAAUGCAACAGUCUGUGUCCUUCACUUUUAUAAGGUCUCCAUCAAACUCUUUGAGGCUAAGUGGCUUAGAACAGUGAAUGAAUCUGAUUAUUGCCUGUAAAUCUAAGGAAAGUUGAAAUCUCUAGUAAUAAAUUCACCUCAUUUUUCUCUACUUUGCCCGUAGUAUGCCCUUCCAAGGUAGAGGCCAAAUCAACUUAUUGGUACUGCAGUUGCUCCUGCCACCUCCCCAUCCAAAUGAGUGAAGCAUGUUCACUUGAACAGGACGAGCAGAAAGUUCUGUCUCAAUCCAUGGUAGCUUGUUUCAUGGCACCCCUGUUGCAACGGAGAAAUGCAGGAAGUGACUUAUGGGUGCAUGUCCGUGAGAGGCAGGUCAUUGCCGAGCGGGAAGAGCACCACAGACACACAGCCUCUCGUGGGGAGUGACAGGAGUGAUGUGGUGGAUUAGGUAAGCGCAGCUGUUUAUCCCCGCUUGUCAAGCAUCUACUGUGUGAGCUGGAGAGUACAGCCAUGAACAAGACGAUGUGCCCAGGCAGGAGACAGGCUGCGACCAGAGAGCUCACAGAUACUGGUCUACAGUCCACUGGGAAGUCCUGGGAGGAAGUGGAGAGUCUGGGGACCAGAGGGCCUAGCCCAGACUAGUUGGAUAAAGGCCUUCCUGAGGAGGGGGCAUUUCACCUGGGACUUGAGAGUUGAACAAAGUGCCCAAGCCAGCAUUUGGCUGCAAACCAGCUUGCUUUUUCUUUUUUUUUUUUUUUAAUGUUAAUUUCUAUGUAAAAAGGGAGUAGAUAAAAUUAAUUAGGUGAUAAAUUUAUAAAUAUUUGCCGUAAGUCCAUAGCACUCAGUAUAAAAGAGCUACUUCUGCCUUGGAAAUGUAUCAAAUUAACAAAUUAAUCCACUGGAACUGGUAUCAAGAUGGCUGAGUUGUUCUCAGUACAUGGUUACCAGCGUCAUGUCUGACUUUUGGUUUUUUCUUUUUCGUUUUUUCCGAGCCAUUCCCUGUUCAAAGUUCCCAUUUGAACUUGGGGAUUAACAGUGGAAAUCAUUUUGGAGUCCCAUGCCUCAGAAGGGAGAUCGGCUGCAGAGGUACUGAGGAGGCAAAACUGAUCAGUGGCAGGAGCAGACUGGAGUCAUUUAAACAGGCCAGGUCCCUACUGUGCCCUUUGUCAUCCAGCUGACAUCAGCAAAGCCAUCGCCUCCAUUUCCUCAGCUAUAAAACAAGCCUAACAACGCCAGUCUUCGGGCUUCUAGGAGUCAGCUGUGAUGGGAUGCACCAACUUAGAAGGCCAGCAACAAUGGACCAGUUUCACCUGAAAAUGAUCUCCCCCAUAAAACCACUGCUGCACCCCAGAGUCUGUGCCCUGUCCUGACCACGACCCUGCCUUCUCCUUGCAGGUAACUCCAGUGCAGUGUUGUGGUACAGCCUGUUGGGGCUUUAACUGGGAUGGCAUUGAACUUAUGUAGCAUGUAGGGAGAGUGGAUCUCUUUAUAAUGAAUGUUAAGUCUCCCAAUCCAUGGACAUGGUAUAUCUCACCACUUACGGAGGCCUCUUUAUCUCAGUUGAGUUUUAUGAUUUUCUCCAGAGACCUUGUACAUGUUUUUAAGAGGCCUGUGUUUGAUGUUCUUGUAAGUGGUUGUUCUUACUUCAUUUUCUAAUUGUUACAGCUGGAAUUUUUUUAAUGUGGGUGGGGGUUUUUUUUAUGUUGAUUUUUAUAUCCAGCAACCUUGCUAAACCCUUGUGUUCUAGUAACUUAUCUGUUGGUUCUGUGACUUUUCUAUCAUCUCUAAAUAAUGACAGUUUUGUUUCUUUCUUUCGGAUCUUUGUACCUUUUUUUCCUUGCCCUACUGCUCUAGCCAGGACCUCCAGUAUAGUUUGAACCACACUGGAAGUGAUAACAAUGGGCAUCUUUGUUGUGUUUCCAUUCUUAAGGGAAAGCUUUCAGUGCUCCACCACCAUAUGUGAUGCUUGUCACAGGGUUUUGUAGCUUCCUACCCUUUAGCAGGGCAAGGAAGUCCUGACCAUUUUUAGUUUGCUAACAUUCUUCUCAUGAAUGGAUCUUGAAUUUUACCUGCAAUCGUAGAGAAGAUGGUGUGACUUCUUUUUUUCUGUUAAAGCAACAGAUUAUGCUGAGUUUUCCAAUACUGAACCCAUCUCCUUGCACCCUGGGGAUUAACCCAGCUUGGCUGAGUUGUUUUAUCCUUUUCACAUAUUUCUGGAUUCAGUGUGUUAAUCAUGUAGGAUUUUUUGCAAAUAUUUCCUGAAUGAGAUGUCCCUGUACUUUUUCUUUUCACGUUUCCCUUAUCAGGUGUUGAUGUCAAGGUGUGACAGAAUGAGUGGGGCAGUUCCCUCUUCUUCUGCAAUCCGAGUUUGGGUAAGAGUAGAACUCUUUGUUCCUUAAAUGCAUGUGAGAGUCACAGGGGAAGCCAUCUGGGCUGGCAGUUUGCUCUCUGGGAAGUUCGACUCCUGAUCAACUUUCUCUGUCUAAAAUGUCAUGCCUUCCUUUCCAUCCUCCCAGACCAGACUACCUCACAGCUGGGCCACUGUGGCACCCUAAGGGGUACUGCCCUGGGCUCCCCCAGCUAGUCUUCCCAAAGCUCCACCUCAAUCCUAGCACUCUCCUGCCUCAGACCAUCCACCGGUCCCCACCGCCCCCAGGUGAAAUCCAGAUCUACAGCAAGAUGCUCGCGGCCCUCAGCGGUGCCCAGACUGCCUGUCCACCCUUCCCUAAUGCUGUCCCCGGCUGAGCUUGUGACCCAUCUAGUGUCUGUCCAUGAAGAUCCCUACAAAAGUCUGGUCCAUCCCGACCCCUUUGCCACUAAUGUCGCCUCUUCCAGGAAGCCUGCCCCUUCCCUUUAGCUGUGGGUUCCCUCCGUCCUGUAGCUCUCUCUUUCUGCACAGUAUCAGAACUGCUUUGGGUAGAAGUUUUCUCUAGUCAAGUGGAUAUUCCAAGAGGACAGGCAUUGUUUAUGAUAGUUCACUUAUUCUGUCAACAAACUGUACCAGCCAUCAUGUUUGGUGCUGGGAUAUAUCAGUAACUAAGACAGACAGGUUCCAAUCAUAUUGGGACUUUCCAGUGAGGAGGAAAUAAAACAGCUUGCACUGUACAGAUAUGAGUAUAAAUAAAACAAAAUUAAAUCUCCCCAAAUCUCACUGAUAACUAUUGGGGCAUUUCUUCCCAACUUUAAAAAUACAUUAGUAACCUACCUGAAUGGGUAUAUACUAUCCUAUUUUACAGAUGAGGAAACUGAGGCACAGAGCACUAAAGUCAAAGAUCACAGGAACAACUGAGAUCUGGAUUUUAACUCAGGCAAUCUGGUUCUGAGAUCCCCACCAUACCCUACGCUACCCUACUCCUACCAGCUCUUUAAAAAAUAUAGUUGAAGGUCAAACUAUGUGUCCCUGUUUGGGGGCCCAAAUUUUUCAUUUCUCUUACAACAUACAUCUUACCUUGGGAACACAGAAAUGUGCAUUCUGGCCCCUACCUUGGUAUCACACAUCACAGGCUCUACCUACUGCCUUCUCAGGGAGUCCAGGGGCCUGGGUCCUCCUGUCCCUGCCACCAAGUCACUGUGUGACCUCAAGCUAGUCACUUGGCCUCUCUGGGCCUCAGUUUUCACAUCUGUAAAGAAGAGCUGAGAUUCUGUCACAUUACAGCUGGCCUUGAGGAUCCCUCUGUUGAGGGGGUGGCAUCCCUGGGACCUCUGCCCAGUGCUGGGCCUCCCUAGGCUGUGCCCUGCCUUGUCUUUGUCUUGGCUGUGCCCACCUCCCUCCCGCAUGGCCCACACAGGCUUGGCUUAUCUGAGUCCGUAGGCCCCUUGGCAGCGGCUGGGCAAUCGCCCCCACAGGCCAGAGGAAACCUGCACCAGCCAGCAUCCCACAAAGGCGAUGGCCCCAAAGCAAGCACAUGUUCUGGACACCACGCCCCCUCGCCUGUCAGGCAGCUGCUCAGGAUGGGUGACAAGGUGAGUGGUGCUGCAGAGCCUGGGGCCACCUGCAGCAUUAGGCUGCUCUGAGGGACUCCGCCCCUCCUUCCUGCCUCAGCUUAAACACAUGAACAGUGUAGUAGUGUAUUUUAUUAGCACAUUAAAUAAGACUAAAGCUGCAAGUCUAAAAUUCAUCUUGUUGAAGUAGCAGUGAGUAUAAAUGAUAUCUAGAAAUUUUGCUUCAGUGAGCACGUGAUUUGAAAAUAUCUGGAUUUCUGUUGUUGACAAAGUCACAGAUGCAGCAGACACCACUGAAGUUUUGUUCCCCCUAUUCCUAAUUGAUAAAGUAAAUAGUAGUCAGAGGUGUGUGGAAAUGAGGAUGUAAAAUUUUUUCUGUUCAAUUUCAGAAACCCCUGAAUUCUAUCCUUUGGUCUCCCCCUCUUUUUGUAGAACUGAGGUUAAAAACCCUGCUGUGGGUAAUAGGCUUGUGUCAGAGGGGCUAUGAGAACAGUGGGAGGGGUGAGGGGCAGAGGGAGGAAAAGCCUUCAUGAUUGGGUGGGUCUACUUAAAACGGAAGCACAGGGCCAAAUUUUACACCUCUGGGCCUUUGCACAUGUUGUUCCCGCUGCUAGGCCUUUCUAUCCCAUCCCCUUGCCCCGUCUGCCACCACCAACUCCACUGUCUCCUUGGAAAGCCUCUUCUUGCCCCAACCCCAGUGUGGAAUCCCCCUCACUCUAGUCCUGACUGUCUGACCACCUCUUCUGAGAGCAUCUGCAUUGAUUUCAGGGGUUUGCAGUCAGUUCAGGCUCUCCUGCUGGACUCACCCAGACAAGGACUCAGCCAGGGCUGCUCCAUCUCUGGGUCUCCAGGGCCCAACUCAACACCAGUGCUCAGCAGGUGUUUGUUGAAUGAAUGAAUAACAAAGUCAUGCCCUGCCAUAUUCUCUAAGCUCCUUGCAGGGCUGACAUUUCAGAGAGGACUGCCUGCAAUGAUGUGUGUGUUACCUUCCUAAUAUGCUUUUUUAAAAAAGUUUUUUUUUAAAGCAAGUUAAAAACAAUAUAUAACCACAAAGGAAUAUUAUAUGGCCAUAAAAAGAAAUGAAGUCCUGACACAUGCAACCAUAUAGAUGAAUCUUGAAAACAUCAUGCUAAGUGAAAGAAGCCAGCGACAAAAGGCCACAUAUUGUAUGAUCCAAUUUAUUAUUUUUUUGGUAUGAUUCAAUUUACAUAGAAUGUCCAGAAUUGGCAAAUCCAAAGAGACAGAAAGCAGAUUAGUUGGGGGUGGGAAAUGGGGCAUGAAUGCUACUAGGUACAACAUGUUAGGGUGUUGAAAAUGCUCUAAAAUUAGUGGUGAUGGUUGUGGAACUCUGAAUAUACUAAAAACCAGUGAAUUGUACACUUUAAAUGGUGAAUUCUAGGCUAUGAGAAUUGCAUCUCAGUAAAUGUGUUAUUAAAAAGUAUAUAUGAAAACAUCUACAUCUUUGUCAAUUUCCACAUGUUCCUGCAAUGUGGUCCCUGCUUAGAGCUGGGCAGUGAGAUUAUAGAUGUAUGUGUGUUUUGGAUUUUCUGCAAUAAACUUACUACAUUUGUAA